GUCAAAAUUGAUUCCCAUGACUCCUUCCACAGCUAAAACACUGGUGGUCAGUCCUGCAGAGAAAUCAAAACCCAAGAUUGGUUUGCAGCAACAUUCUUUACAUUUUGUUAAUCAAACUCGUGGUCGAGCAAGACCUGAUAGUACAAAAACAUCUAAUGAAGGCAGGCUUCAGGUUCUCAAACCAUCACGAGAAUUGAAUGGCAUCUCUUCACCUGCUAAAGAUAGCAUGAGUCCUACAAAUGGAAGCAAGCUGGUGAAUAGCUCUCCUGGAAUCACUCCAUUGGCUGCUGGAUCUGUUCACUUGAAACGCUUGGGCAGUCCAAACCAUUCCAACGCUGGGUGCCAUCCUUCUGUUUUGCGGCCAACCAUAGAGAAGAGACCAGCA
rnacentral:misc_RNA from 1 species